rnacentral:rRNA from 1 species
GACAGAGGUGCCAAGCGUUAGGCGGAAUCACUGGGCUUAAAGCGUGUGUAGGCGGAAUGGUAAGUACCUUGUGAAAUCCCACGGCUCAACCGUGGAACUGCUUGGUAUACUGCUUUUCUUGAGCCACUUAGGGGCUGUCGGAACAAACGGUGGAGCGGUGAAAUGCGUAGAUAUCAUUUGGAACGCCAAUGGUGAAAACAGCUCGCUGGGGGUGCACUGACACUGAGACACGAAAGCCAGGGGAGCGAACGGG